rnacentral:rRNA from 1 species
AAGUUUGAUCGUGGCUCAGAUUGAACGCUGGCGGCAUGCCUUACACAUGCAAGUCGAACGGCAGCACGGGAGCAAUCCUGGUGGCGAGUGGCGAACGGGUGAGUAAUACAUCGGAACGUGCCCAAUCGUGGGGGAUAACGCAGCGAAAGCUGUGCUAAUACCGCAUACGAUCUACGGAUGAAAGACAGGGGACCGGCCAAGGCCUUGCGCGAAUGGAGCGGCCGAUGGCAGAUUAGGUAGUUGGUGGGGUAAGGGCUCACCAAGCCAACGAUCUGUAGCUGGUCUGAGAGGACGGACCAGCCACACUGGGACUGAGACACGGCCCAGACUCCUACGGGAGGGCAGCAGUGGGGAAUUUUGGUACAAUGGGCGCAAGCCUGAUCCAGCCAUGCCGCGUGCAGGAUGAAGGCCUUCGGUUGUAACUGCUCUUGUACGGAACGAAAGUACUCUUUCUUAAU